rnacentral:rRNA from 1 species
GACGAACGCUGGCGGCGUGCCUAACACAUGCAAGUCGAGCGGAGCCAUCCGAUAGAUCCCUUCGGGGUGAAAUCGGGGGAGCUUAGCGGCGGACGGGUGAGUAACGCGUGAGUAACCUGCCUGUAAGAGGGGAAUAACACAUCGAAAGGUGUGCUAAUACCGCAUGAUGUAUUUAAUCCGCAUGGAUUUAAUACCAAAGAUUUAUCGCUUACAGAUGGACUCGCGUCUGAUUAGAUAGUUGGUAGGGUAACGGCCUACCAAGUCGACGAUCAGUAGCCGAACUGAGAGGUUGAUCGGCCACAUUGGGACUGAGACACGGCCCAGACUCCUACGGAGGCAGCAGUGGGAAUAUUGCGCAAU